rnacentral:sRNA from 1 species
GCUGGGCAUGGUGGCACAUGCCUGUAAUCCCAGCUACUCUGGAGGCGGAGGCAGGAGAAUCGCUUGAACCUGGGAGGUUGAGGCUGCAGUGAGCCGAGAUUGCGCCACUGCACUCCAGCCUGGGCAACAGAGUGAGACUCUGUCUCAA